UCGGGCACGGAGGCCCUAACUGGUGUUGAACAGUGAUUGAAUGGUCCGAGAGAUUGAACAUUAUUUACAAUAGAAUACUGUAUGCAAUAAAAGGAAAUAGUUAACUGCGCAUGUCCACUGUCAAUUUUCUAAAUACAUGUAGACAUAGUACUAGAGCCGUUUUACGCAAUCGAAUACCGCCGGAAGUAGAACAUUUAUGUCAACACCGGUUUCGUAUUUCACGUGAAAACAGCUGAAAACUGAGAGGUUAUCAACAAAUUAUUAAGUUCCAUGGGGAUUUUUCAUGCAUUUAAACGACAGAAGUACAAGCCAACAAAUGACACAUUACAGUGGCUGCAGAAGCUUGAAAAGUUACUUAGAGCAGGGGCAGUCAGAACAAUGGGAUAAUGCUUCUAAUAGGUGUCCUACAUGUCUAAUCAGGUUGACAGAAGUGGAAGAUGGUCUAGUGGUACAAUGAUUGUAAAAUGUUCUGUGGAUUCAUAUGAUGAGAAUGCCAGUGUUGAUCUGUAUGGUUUAAUUAAACACAGAUAUUGAUACCUUCAGAUAUACCUGUGAAAUCUUCAGUGUCACCAUUCAGCUAUAGUUCAAGAUCCGUGUCUGAAACUUGCACAGUUUAGUAUAGAGGAGCCUACUGGAUCAAUUUUGUUACAUAUUUACUGUUAUUGUAGGACACACAUGUAGAGAGCAGCAAGUCCUGUACAGCCGUGCAUGUAAAUGUGAUUCAGAAACUCUGAGAAUUAUGUAAACAUUACACUGUUAUAAUUUUCAAAAUACUAUGUCUUGUAGUGUAUCAAUACUGUUUUGUCUCAGUUUAUAGCACAGAUAAUCAAAUCACAAAUCAAACUUAAGAUCAUAGUGAUCAGUAUUAUUAAAAUCACUGAUUAUUUAUAUGGUGACAAAAAUUAAUUUCAUGCAAUACCACAGUAAAACGUUUGAUAAUUUUUGCUUUUGAAGGUGUAAGUUUAAGGUUAGCAUAAAUUGUUUUUCUCCUUCAUAAAUCUAAAAAGUGAUUAGUCAUUAUAAUUGCAAUAUCAUUUUAGUAUGACAAAGUUUAUUUAUAUUUAACUAAAACAGCAGUGUAAAUUUUUAAACUACUCAAUGCAUUUUCUUCAGUCUUAAAACAUUUGUUUAUCAUAAGUAUCAUGGUCAAUAACUCCUCCAUAUUACUUGUGUUUUGUCCUUUUUAAUUUCACUGAAGAAUAGGUAGAGGUAUUGCACAUCCAUUUUUUAGCAUCCCGAUUUUGUAAAGUAUUGUAUGUAAGCUUUUGUCUCAGAAUUAUGUUUCAUCCAAAGGUGGGGAGACGUAUUGUUUUUGCCUUCUCCUCCGUCUUUCCGCAUUAAGCCUGUCCAGCUUUUACAGGACAAGCUGCUGGCCAGAUUUCGAUGAAACUACACAGGACUGAUCAUUACCAAGCAUAGAGUUGUGCAUAUCGCUUGCAUGUUCCAUUUCGCUGUACUAAAUUGCAGCCAGAGCUAAAAAAAAGAAAGAAAAAACUUGUCGGCUUUCACAGGUCAAACUACUUAACAGAUUUUGAUGAAACUUCAAAGGAGUGAUCAGUACCAAACAUAUUUGUGCAUAUUGCUGACACUUUCAUUUUGGUGCACAAAAUAGCCGCCAUAGCUAAAGGUAUACAAAGAUUGGAUACAUGUUUUGUCAUAAAAACACCUAAAGCACCUUCUAGUUUGCUAAUGAAAAAUGUAUCAAACUUCUUACACUUGCAAAAUGUAAUAAUUUGACAUUAAAUGCACUGGCCCCUUAACUGCAUUUGGCAUUUUUACAAAAUUAUUGCCCUUUUCUUACCAUAGAAAUAUUUGGUGUAUUAGUCUUCACGAAACCUUGCAGAACAAUUUCCUUAUGUUCCCAGUGUCAACUUUGAUAGUGACAUGUUUACUUUAGAAACACUGCAGUAAUGUAACCACUGUACUAGUCAAACGUUUCGUAUUUCAGUUUUUUAUCACAUUACAGGCUACUGGUUUUUAUCAGCCUUCAUAAAACUUUCAUAUUUCAAAAAAUGUUGUACUUUGAUUUGAACUGGCAUUAUUCAAACAUUAUGAAGUAGUACUAUAAGGCAAUAUUUGACCUCUUGCCCAGUACUUUUUGAUUUUAUCUGUAACUAUGAAAUUGCCUUUUCCUAGAAACUGGUUGGCUGUUUUUUGGUGAACUUAUGUUUUUAAUGAAUUGUAGUUAUGAUCUCAUGAAAAUGUCUAUUUUUAUAAAAUUUAUAACUUUUACUGUCAGCAAAGUGCAAUACCACAUAUUUAUCACUUUCAUUAACAUACUUGUACUAUAUUCAUUAAACAUUAUAUAAAUCAUUAUAUUUCAUAUGAACAGAAUUAAAUAAAUAUUUAAGAACA
rnacentral:lncRNA from 1 species